rnacentral:rRNA from 1 species
AGUCGAGCGAACUGAUUAGAAGCUUGCUUCUAUGACGUUAGCGGCGGACGGGUGAGUAACACGUGGGCAACCUGCCUGUAAGACUGGGAUAACUUCGGGAAACCGAAGCUAAUACCGGAUAGGAUCUUCUCCUUCAUGGGAGAUGAUUGAAAGAUGGUUUCGGCUAUCACUUACAGAUGGGCCCGCGGUGCAUUAGCUAGUUGGUGAGGUAACGGCUCACCAAGGCAACGAUGCAUAGCCGACCUGAGAGGGUGAUCGGCCACACUGGGACUGAGACACGGCCCAGACUCCUACGGGAGGCAGCAGUAGGGAAUCUUCCGCAAUGGACGAAAGUCUGACGGAGCAACGCCGCGUGAGUGAUGAAGGCUUUCGGGUCGUAAAACUCUGUUGUUAGGGAAGAACAAGUACGAGAGUAACUGCUCGUACCUUGACGGUACCUAACCAGAAAGCCACGGCUAACUACGUGCCAGCAGCCGCGGUAAUACGUAGGUGGCAAGCGUUAUCCGGAAUUAUUGGGCGUAAAGCGCGCGCAGGCGGUUUCUUAAGUCUGAUGUGAAAGCCCACGGCUCAACCGUGGAGGGUCAUUGGAAACUGGGGAACUUGAGUGCAGAAGAGAAAAGCGGAAUUCCACGUGUAGCGGUGAAAUGCGUAGAGAUGUGGAGGAACACCAGUGGCGAAGGCGGCUUUUUGGUCUGUAACUGACGCUGAGGCGCGAAAGCGUGGGGAGCAAACAGGAUUA